UACGAAGGGGGCUAGCGUUGUUCGGAAUCACUGGGCGCAAAGCGCACGCAGGCGGAUUGAUAAGUCAGGGGUGAAAUCCCGAGGCUCAACCUCGGAAUUGCCUUUGAUACUGUCUAUCUUCGAGUUCGGGAGAGGUUGGCGGAAUUCCUAGUGUAGAGGUGAAAUUCGUAGAUAUUAGGAAGAACACCAGUGGCGAAGGCGGCCAACUGGCCCGAUACUGACGCUCAUGUGCGAAAGCGUGGGGAGCGAACAGG
rnacentral:rRNA from 1 species